UACGGGGGGGGCAAGCGUUGUUCGGAAUUACUGGGCGUAAAGGGCUCGUAGGCGGCCAACUAAGUCAGACGUGAAAUCCCUAGGCUUAACCGGGGAACUGCGUCUGAUACUGGAUGGCUUGAGAUUGGGAGAGGGAUGCGGAAUUCCAGGUGUAGCGGUGAAAUGCGUAGAUAUCGGAAGGAACAUCAGUGGCGAAAGCGACUUCCUGGACCAAUACUGACGCUCAUGUGCGAAAGCGUGGGGAGCAAACAGG
rnacentral:rRNA from 1 species